GAGGGUGUAGCUCAAGUGGCAGAGCACAUGCUUAGCAUGCACGAGGUUCUGGGUUCAAUCCCUGGCAUCUCCU
rnacentral:tRNA from 1 species